CAGUAUGGGUGCUGGAAAUUGGACCUGCGUCCUCUGCUACAGCGGGUCCGAGUCCUAACAGCAUACUCGUAUCCAGUUCUUCAGUUAAAAGAGAAACACAGAGAAGAAGAUGUUACCUCAUUUUUACUGAAAAUGCUGAUCCUGGAAACUGGGCUUACUCAUACAGAUAUAAACUGCCUUCUCAUUCUUUCUCCCUGGAGAAUGGCCAGGCUGGCUUCCACAGUGUGCUGGAACAGAGCAGAUACUGUUUCUGCAAAGUUAUUCGGGGGAUCAGAAGAGGCAAUCACCUUGAUAAGCAUGUGAACUCUGGAGUCAGGCUGUCUGGGUUCUAAUCUCAGUAGCUUACUAUUGCUCUCUUGUCUUUUUACCCCUGGCUGAUAAAAUACAGGCUGUUCUAGUCCUA
rnacentral:sRNA from 1 species